UGAAUGUAUUAGCUGAGCUACAUCAGGAGC
rnacentral:piRNA from 1 species